UAUAGCUACUUACUUUUUAUUGCUUUGCUUUAAAAUCAAGACAUAAAAAUAUAGCACCAAACUUCACCUUUAAAAUAAAUAUUAUAAUGCUACUUAUCUGUAGUAAUUUGGUCUUGUUCUAGAACUAUAUAGACAGCAAAUAUAACUAUGUCUUUUUUGCUUACAAUAACUAUUAAUCACAAGUAUAUAAAUGAGUAAAUUAAAUAUUUUACUCAUUUUUCUCUUUAUUUUGGUAUUUUAGCAUUGCAAAGAAGUGAGGUGGAAAUGGAGAAGAGCCUUAAAAGUUACAGCCACAGACAAUUUUAAUAUCUCAUUUUUUUUCCCUUGGUACAGUAAAAACUGACCCACUUUGAAGCUUCUGGAACAUCAAAAUGCUAUUGCAGUGUUCUCACCAAGAGGCUUCAUAAAACUAAGUGAUUGCAGCACUUCAUAAUUGAAGUACUUCAUGUGAAUCUAUUGCUGUUGCAGUUUCAGCUCUCAGAUCUCUUUGGAUAAAUGGCUUCAUAGAAAAUGUGAACGAAAAAAUGUGACCUCAAUGAUCUGGAAGUGAACAGUGCUCAGGAAAUAUCGCCAUGCCAUGACCCCAUCAGUCUACACACUUUGACAUUUAUCAGUGGAUACGUGAAAGGGAUGAGAAGGCCUAGUAAAGUGAAGCAAUUUAUGCAGUUCCUUUCCUUGUUAAACUAGCACAGGAGGGAAGCAGGUUUGUAAAAUGACCUAUUACUUAAUCUUCAUUGAUCUUCUAUGAACAGCCUCUCUAAAUGGUGCUUUUACCCCUUCCAAAUGAAAUGACAGGUUUUACAGAUUCCACGUGGUGAGUAGGCCUAACUACUUUACUCAGGACAGUUUCCAUUACUAAGCUUUAUUCUGCAAAAUAGGACUGUAAUAUAAAUAUAAUUGUUUUUCCAUUGAUUUUUAAAGGGUAGCAAAUUGCUCAACAAAAUACCUUUGCUGAGAAAAGCAACAUUUUUCAAGGUAUACAUAGGCUUUCUCUCAAAUAGGACUUCCCUGGCAU
rnacentral:lncRNA from 1 species